UACAAAGAACAUCACAUUCAGCCAGAACAA
rnacentral:piRNA from 1 species